GACGAACGCUGGCGGCGUGCUUAACACAUGCAAGUCGAACGGAAAGGCCCUGCUUUUGUGGGGUGCUCGAGUGGCGAACGGGUGAGUAACACGUGAGUAACCUGCCCUUGACUUUGGGAUAACUUCAGGAAACUGGGGCUAAUACCGGAUAGGAGCUCCUGCUGCAUGGUGGGGGUUGGAAAUUUUCGGCGGUUGGGGAUGGACUCGCGGCUUAUCAGCUUGUUGGUUGGGUAGUGGCUUACCAAGGGUUUGACGGGUAGCCGGCCUGAGAGGGUGACCGGCCACAUUGGGACUGAGAUACGGCCCAGACUCCUACGGGAGGCAGCAGUGGGGAAUAUUGCACAAUGGGAGGAAGCCUGAUGAAGCAACGCCGCGUGCGGGAUGACGGCCUUCGGGUUGUAAACCGCUUUCGCCUGUGACGAAGCGUGAGUGACGGUAAUGGGUAAAGAAGCACCGGCUAACUACGUG
rnacentral:rRNA from 1 species